GUGUCAGCCGCCGCGGUAAUACGAAGGGUGCAAGCGUUACUCGGAAUUACUGGGCGUAAAGCGUGCGUAGGUGGUUCGUUAAGUCUGAUGUGAAAGCCCUGGGCUCAACCUGGGAAUGGCAUUGGAUACUGGCGACCUAGAGUGCGGUAGAGGGGUGUGGAAUUCCCGGUGUAGCAGUGAAAUGCGUAGAUAUCGGGAGGAACAUCUGUGGCGAAGGCGACACCCUGGACCAGCACUGACACUGAGGCACGAAAGCGUGGGGAGCAAACAGGAUUAGAUACCCUGGUAGUCCACGCCCUAAACGAUGCGAACUGGAUGUUGGGUGCAACUAGGCACUCAGUAUCGAAGCUAACGCGUUAAGUUCGCCGCCUGGGGAGUACGGUCGCAAGACUGAAACUCAAAGGAAUUGACGG
rnacentral:rRNA from 1 species